rnacentral:rRNA from 1 species
AGGACGAACGCUGGCGGCGUGCUUAACACAUGCAAGUCGAGCGGAAAGGCCCUUCGGGGUACUCGAGCGGCGAACGGGUGAGUAACACGUGGGCAACCUGCCCCUCGCUCUGGGAUAACUCCGGGAAACCGGGGCUAAUACCGGAUAUGACCACCGAAGGCAUCUUGGGUGGUGGAAAGUUUUUCGGCGAGGGAUGGGCCCGCGGCCUAUCAGCUUGUUGGUGGGGUGAUGGCCUACCAAGGCAGUGACGGGUAG